rnacentral:rRNA from 1 species
AAACGCGAAGAACCUUACCUAAGCUUGACAUCCCUUAGACCGGUGUUUAAUCACACCUUCCCUUCGGGGCUGAGGUGACAGGUGGUGCAUGGUUGUCGUCAGCUCGUGUCGUGAGAUGUUGGGUUAAGUCCCGCAACGAGCGCAACCCUUGUCUUUAGUUGCCAGCAUUCAGUUGGGCACUCUAGAGAGACUGCCAGGGAUAACCUGGAGGAAGGUGGGGAUGACGUCAAAUCAUCAUGCCCCAUAUGCUUAGGGCUACACACGUGCUACAAUGGGUGGUAUAGAGGGUUGCCAAACCGUGAGGUGGAGCUAAUCCCUUAAAGCCAUUCUCAGUUCGGAUUGUAGUGCUGAAACUCGCCUACAUGAAGCUGGAGUUACUAGUAAUCGCAGAUCAAGAA